UACACCUAGACAGGAUUUGUUUGCGUCAUCUUCAGACUGGGUAGAGCAAGUGCCUUUUGGGCAAGACCCUCAAGAGCUCCUUGCCAACCUCCUCCUAGAAGAGCAAAGACAAGGUGCUAGUGGGAGGAUUACUGCAUGGCUUGAGGGAGGGUCUGCCCGCUCCCCACACCGUGGCUGGAGAGUAGGAAGUGAGAGGGCCCAGAACAGGGACCCGAAGAUGACCUGAGAUGUGAUUGACAGGGUGAUUUCCUGGGUCUCACUUUUGAAGUUCUAGAUGGGCAGAGCAGAGCAUGAAUCUCUUUCAAAGGCAGCAUGGAAGGACUGAAUGCCUCCUCCAACUCCAGGCAUUUGACAACCCCUACCCCGAAUGGGAGAAAAUACUUCAGGGCUAGAGUGUGACGGCGCAGCCUCAGCUCACUACAACCUCCGCCUCCCAGGUUCAAGUGAUUCUCCUGCCUCAGCCUCCUGAGUAGCCUUCAGAAUUGCAAUAGGAAAAACCUGGUAAACCUCCAGAAUGCCUGCCCAUAGGGACCUGCAAAGCUAAGCAAUGUCCACCUGAACAGUGGAGCACCACAUGACCAGUAGAGAAAAUUAAGUAACUCAGUGUUUACCAUGGGAAAUAUGGAAGACAUAUUAUUCUUCAGUGAAACCAAAGCUCACAGACCAGCAUGUCUGGGAUGAUCCAAUUUAGGUAAACAAAUAAAUUUCUUCAAAAGGCUGUAAUACAUGUGUCUGGGCCAAAUGCCGAUGGACCAGUUCUGAAUGGAAGUUGAUCAACCCACCAUGGUGUUGACAGGAAUUAGUUCCAGGGAAUAAAAAUCAUGGGGAGAUGGGGAGUUUACCAGGGUGAAUAUUUUUCACUUCCCAGUUGUAAAUGUAUGCCCAUCCAGAUUUUUUUGAAGUUUUAUUCACCACAAGUUCUAUGAUGGUUAAUUUUACAUGUCGACUUGACUGGAUGGCAGGAGAACUGGAUGGCGGAUAGAGCACUGUUUCUGGGUGUUUGUGAGGUGUUUCCAGGGGAGAAUAGCAUGUGAGUCUGAGGACUGAGGGAGGAAGACCUGUCUUCAAUGUGGGGGCCACCAUCCAAUCAGCUGGGGCCUGGCUGAGACAAAGCAGGUAGAGGGGCUGGGCUUGGAAAACGUUUUCCCCACUGUCAAUUACUGAGUGACUAUGAAACCCACCCAAUUUAUGAUGAAACAAGGGAUUGCUGUCUCUGCUCAUUAAAGCUACAAUAAUAGAAUCAUUUAUGUCCCCUCCUUCCCCAGCAUUCCCUGUGGCUAUUCCCCCAUGCCCCAACCUCUGCUCAUUCCUGAUGCUGAGUCUUUGCUUAGGCAGAUCGUCUUCCUAGGAUGUCGUUCCUGCCCCUGGCCGGGGGAGCCCAGCCAGAAGCAAAAUAAUCCCAUCACUUUGGGAAGCUGAGGGGAGAAGAUUGUGAGACCAGUAGUUCAAGACCAGCCUGGGCAAUAUAGUGAGACCUUGUCUUUACAAAAAAAUAAAUUAGCCUGGCAUGGUGGUGCACGACUAUAGUCGCAGCUACUCAGGAAGCUGAGGUGGGAGGAUGGCUUGAGCCUGGGAAGUCGAGGCUGCAGUGAGCUCUGAUCAUGCCACUGCACUCCAGCCUGGGGAACAGACUAAGACCCCAUCUCAAAAAAAAGCAUGUAGAGGAGGGGGGUUCACUCUCUCUGCUUCCUUUCUCCCUUUUGGAGCAGGAUGCUUUUCUCCUCCUGCCUUUAGACAUCAGACUCCAGGUUCUUUGGCUUCCUGAGUGAGGAAGG
rnacentral:lncRNA from 10 species